rnacentral:rRNA from 1 species
CUGUGGAUAGGGGUGAAAGGCCAAACAAACCCGGAGAUAGCUGGUUCUCUCCGAAAUCUAUUUAGGUAGAGCGUCAUGUAUUACUUCUGGGGGUAGAGCACUGUUAUGGCUAGCGGGUCGUCAAGACUUAGUAAACCAUUGCAAACUCCGAAUACCAGAAAGUAUGAGCAUGGCAGACACACUGCGGGUGCUAACGUCCGUAGUGGAAAGGGAAACAACCCAGACCGUCAGCUAAGGUCCCAAAAUUAUAGUUAAGUGGGAAACGAUGUGAAAAGGCAUAGACAGCCAGGAGGUUGGCUUAGAAGCAGCCAUUCCUUUAAAGAGUGCGUAAUAGCUCACUGGUCGAGUCGGUUUGCGCGGAAGAUUUAACGGGGCUAAACUAUAUACCGAAGCUGCGGAUCGCAAUUUAUUGCGAUGGUAGGAGAGCGUUCUGUAAGCCGUUGAAGGUGAACUGUGAGGUUUGCUGGAGGUAUCAGAAGUGCGAAUGCUGACAUGAGUAACGAUAAAGGGGGUGAAAAACCCCCUCGCCAGAAGUCCAAGGUUUCCUACGCAACGUUAAUCGGCGUAGGGUUAGUCGGCCCCUAAGGCGAGGCAGAAAUGCGUAGUCGAUGGGAAACGGGUUAAUAUUCCCGUACUUCAUAUAACUGCGAUGGGAAGACGGAGAAGGUUAGCUCAGCAAGGCGAUGGUUGUCCUUGUUCAAGCGUGUAGAAAUGGUUCUUAGGAAAAUCCGGGAACCUCUAUUUCAAGGCGUGAUAACGAUCCCUCUUUUGGGAGAAGUGAGUGAGACCAUGCUUCCAGGAAAAUCCUCUAAGCUUCAGGUUAUAUGAAACCGUACCCCAAACCGACACAGGUGGACGAGAUGAGAAUUCUAAGGCGCUUGAGAGAACUCGGGUGAAGGAACUAGGCAAAAUGACACCGUAACUUCGGGAGAAGGUGUACUCUUGUUAUGUGAUAUCACUUGCUGAUAAAGCAGAAAAGAGUUGAAAAUACUAGGUGGCUGCGACUGUUUAUUAAAAACACAGCACUCUGCAAACACGUAAGUGGACGUAUAGGGUGUGACUCCUGCCCGGUGCUUGAAGGUUAAUUGAUGAGGUUAGCGCUUGCGCGAAGCUUUUGAUCGAAGCCCAAGUAAACGGCGGCCGUAACUAUAACGGUCCUAAGGUAGCGAAAUUCCUUGUCGGGUAAGUUCCGACCUGCACGAAUGGAGUAACGACGGCCACACUGUCUCCACCCGAGACUCAGUGAAAUUGAAAUUGCUGUUAAGAUGCAGUAUACCCGCGGCCAGACGGAAAGACCCCGUGCACCUUUACUACAGCUUUGCAUUGAACUCUGAUCCUACUUGUGUAGGAUAGGUGGGAGGCUUUGAAGCUUUAACGCUAGUUAGAGUGGAGCCAACCUUGAAAUACCACCCUGGUAUGGUUGGGGUUCUAACCUAGGUCCGUAAUCCGGAUCGGGAACAAUGCAUGGUGGGUAGUUUGACUGGGGCGGUCUCCUCCUAAAGAGUAACGGAGGAGCGCAAAGGUAUCCUCAGCACGGUCGGACAUCGUGCAAUGAGCGCAAAGGUAAAAGGAUGCUUGACUGCGAGACUGACACGUCGAGCAGGUAGGAAACUAGGUCUUAGUGAUCCGGUGGUUCUGAGUGGAAGGACCAUCGCUCAACGGAUAA